rnacentral:tRNA from 6 species
GGGCCUAUGGUCUAGUUGGUUAUGACACCGCCUUUACACGGCGGAGGUCGCCGGUUCGAAUCCGGCUGGGCCCA